rnacentral:rRNA from 1 species
UACGUAGGGUGCGAGCGUUGUCCGGAUUUACUGGGCGUAAAGAGCUUGUAGGUGGUUUGUCGCGUUGUUCGUGAAAUCUCACGGCUUAACUGUGAGCGUGCGGGCGAUACGGGCAGACUAGAGUACUGCAGGGGAGACUGGAAUUCCUGGUGUAGCGGUGGAAUGCGCAGAUAUCAGGAAGAACACCCGUGGCGAAGGCGGCUCUCUGGGACGGUACUGACGCUGAGACGCGAAAGCGUGGGGAGCGAACAGG